GUCAGUGUGGCUUAGAGGAAAGAACCUGGCCUUGGGGGUCAGAGGACUUGGGUUCUAAUCCCGGCUCUGCCA
rnacentral:tRNA from 1 species